AGUCAAAGUCCCUGCAGAAGUAAAUUUGUCAAAAUGACCCUAGGAGCUUUGAUCUAUGUCAAUCUGCAUCCCACUCUUUACCCCAAUUGUGUUCUGGUAGCACUUAAUUGGGGAAUCUGAUCUUUAAAAACUUGCUUUUGGGACUCCUUGAAGACCAGUUCCCUCAGGAAAUAGUAAGUGUUAGAACCAGGGGUGUAUCAAGACAAUACAACUUUUCUUCCUCUCACUUUUCUGUAUCUGGCUCCCUCACUACUCAUUCUUAAGGUGAAGUGAGGUUAAUAAGCAGAAUAUAUAGGUAAUGACAAUCUAAGAGAACAUCCCAAGAGUGAUAGGGAUUCCAUCAAUCAGCCAUCUGAGUGACACACCAAGUUCCCUUUUGUUUAGGAAAAACUUUUUAUUCAGAUGGUCCUUCAGAGGAGGAGGCAAGUAACAUGAAUGCAUAACUCCCUGGGUAGUUUUAACUUUGGUUAUAAAAGUUCUGUGUGUCUUGAUAGGACAUUUUAAGAGGGAAAGACAAACCAAUCAGGAAAGUUAACAGUGCAAGACCUAAAGAGAAUAGAUAUUGUUGGUACACAGUCACAAUCAUUCAUUUACAGAAUAUAGUCAAUGUUUUUUCAUGCUGCUGUGGUGUGAAUGUGUCCCCCCAAAACUCACACGUUGAAAUAAAAGUGCCAAGCUGAUAGUAAUAAGAGCUGAAUCCUUUAGGAGGUGAUUAAGUUAGGAGGGCUGAAUCUUCAUGGGUGGAAUCAGGGUACUUAUAAAAAGGCACAAAGAAGUGGGUUUGCUCUCUGCCAGCCUUUCACCAUGUAAGUACAGAGCCCUCAUACUUUUUUUUUUCUCUGCCUUCAUAGGACAUAGCAAGAAGUUUGAGAUGCAGAGGUUCUUCCAUUCAGCCACCCAAACAUCAUUGUAGAAACUCUGUAGGCUUCUCCAAGAAUACUGGACCCGGAGGAAGAAAAUUUGGGAAUGGCAUAAGGAGCAGGCACUAGAUCAGAAUACAAAGCUUUGCUCCAAAUUUAUGACUUUGAGCUGUUGACUAACUCUCUCUGGCUUUUGGUUUCCUGAUCUAUAAAGUGGAGAUGAAAGAUUUAGAUGAUCCCUCUGGUAUCUUCUAGCUCUAAAAUUCUGUGAUCUCAGGUUCUACAUGGUGAUAAAGCAUUCUGUAUCUGUCCAACCAUGCCAGUGAUUUAAUCUACCGUUUAUAAGCAAGCCAGGAUGUGACAAAAAUGAUACAAUUAUUGACUCAGCAUUUUACAUUGUCUUUGACCCUGAAAGCAUAUUCCAUUUUCAAAUUGGCUACAUUAUUCUCUAGUCAGAAACCUAGAAUUAUGCCAUUAUUGCCUUGUUUAUCUGGCAUAAAUAAGAAAUAUUCAUGUUAUUUGAAAACUCUUGAUUUCUAGUACAGAAAUACAAAAUUGAUCAGAAAUCUGGUACAUCUGCUGACUAGUAGUUGUUUCUUGUGAUGAUGCUGAAAUCCACUGAAUUAUAUACUUUAAAAGAAUGAAUUUCAUGGUAUGUGAGUUAUAUUUCAAAUUUUGAAAGUUGCCAAAUAAAAUGAAUGAAUCACUCCACUAGUUGAAUUUUUGGUUGCAGAAGUAAGGGAAUUUAUGUUGAAAUUUUAAAAUUCUAAUUUCUGAUGCUCAGAAUAAAACAACAGUGAUAAUAGAAACUGAC
rnacentral:lncRNA from 1 species